rnacentral:misc_RNA from 1 species
UACGAGAGCCUCAAGCGUUAUCCGGAAUUAUUGGGCGUAAAGGGUGCGUAGGUGGUCAUGUUAGUCAGAGGUUAAAGACCGGUGCUUAACACCGGGAAGGCCUUUGAAACGGCAUGACUUGAGAGUGAGAGAGGUAUAGGGAACUCAUAGUGUAGGGGUGAAAUCCGUUGAUAUUAUGGGGAACACCAAAGGCGAAGGCACUAUACUGGCUCAUUUCUGACACUCAUGCACGAAACCCUGGGUAGCGAAUGGG